AAUAGAUACCCGGGUAGUCCACGCCGUAAACGAUGAGUGCUAAGUGUUAGAGGGUUUCCGCCCUUUAGUGCUGCAGCUAACGCAUUAAGCACUCCGCCUGGGGAGUACGGUCGCAAGACUGAAACUCAAAGGAAUUGACGGGGGCCCGCACAAGCGGUGGAGCAUGUGGUUUAAUUCGAAGCAACGCGAAGAACCUUACCAGGUCUUGACAUCCUCUGACAACUCUAGAGAUAGAGCGUUCCCCUUCGGGGGACAGAGUGACAGGUGGUGCAUGGUUGUCGUCAGCUCGUGUCGUGAGAUGUUGGGUUAAGUCCCGCAACGAGCGCAACCCUUGAUCUUAGUUGCCAGCAUUCAGUUGGGCACUCUAAGGUGACUGCCGGUGACAAACCGGAGGAAGGUGGGGAUGACGUCAAAUCAUCAUGCCCCGUUAUGACCUGGGCUACACACGUGCUACAAUGGAUGGUACAAAGGGCUGCAAGACCGCGAGGUCAAGCCAAUCCCAUAAAACCCAUUCUCAGUUCGGAUUGU
rnacentral:rRNA from 1 species